UCAGACGCAGCGACGCCGCGUGGGCGAUGAAGGCCUUCGGGUUGUAAAGCCCUUUUAUGGGGGAAGAGAAAAAGGACGGUACCCCAGGAAUAAGUCCCGGCUAACUACGUGCCAGCAGCCGCGGUAAAACGUAGGGGACAAGCGUUAUCCGGAUUCACUGGGCGUAAAGAGCGUUGAGGCGGUUCCGUAAGUUGGGCGUGAAAGCUCCGGGCUUAACUCGGAGAUGUCGUUCAAUACUGCGGGGCUUGAGGACAGCAGAGGAAGGUGGAAUUCCCGGUGUAGUGGUGAAAUGCGUAGAUAUCGGGAGGAACACCCGUGGCGAAGGCGGCCUUCUGGGCUGUUCCUGACGCUGAAGGCGAAAGCUAGGGGAGCGAACGGGAUUAGAUACCCCGGUAGUCCUAGCUGUAAACGAUGGAUGCUGGGUGUGGGGGGUGUAAAUUCCCUCUGUGCCGAAGCAAACGCGUUAAGCAUCCCGCCUGGGGACUACGGCCGCAAGGCUAAAACUCAAACGAAUUGACGGGGGCCCGCACAAGCAGCGGAGCGUGUGGUUUAAUUCGAUGCUACACGAAGAACCUUACCUGGGUUUGACAUGCACGUGGUAGGGAACCGAAAGGGGACCGACCUUCGGGAGCGUGCACAGGUGCUGCAUGGCUGUCGUCAGCUCGUGCCGUGAGGUGUCGGGUUAAGUCCCGUAACGAGCGCAACCCUUGCCCUUAGUUACAAGUGUCUAAGGGGACUGCCCGGGACAACUGGGAGGAAGGUGGGGAUGACGUCAAGUCAGCAUGGCCUUUAUAUCCAGGGCUACACACACGCUACAAUGGCCGGUACAAUAGGUUGCGAAGUCGUGAGGCGGAGCCAAUCCUCAAAGCCGGUCUCAGUUCGAAUUGCAGUCUGCAACUCGACUGCAUGAAGCUGGAGUUGCUAGUAAUCGCAGGUCAGCUAUACUGCGGUGAUACGUUCCCGGGCCUUGUACACACCGCCCGUCACGUCAUGGAAGCUGGCAACGCCUGAAGCCGGUGAGCUAACCCGAAAGGGAGGCAGCCGUCGAGGGUGGGGCU
rnacentral:rRNA from 1 species